CAGCAAUAAAAAUCCAAGCUUAUUGCACAGAUUAAAUGAGAUAAUGUCUAGGAUGCUCUAUAAAGUGCCCAGCGCUACAUAACAAAAGGGUAUUAUUAUUAUUAUUAUUAUUAUUAUUAUUAUUAUAAUUAUAAAAUAACAAUCAUGCUUUUUUAAAACUGCACACCUUAUUCAGUGCAAGACGUAGAAGAUGAGUAAUAUAGUCCAGUAUCUCACCGUGGGUGCAAUUACAUAUUUCAGAAAUAUCAGUUAUCAUUUCUACCGAUGGAGGCGUGCCAAGGACUUGGUCACCGUCAACCAGCCUUCAGUGGAUUCUCCCUUAGUUGAGGAUGACACUGUUUAAAGGAUAACUUUCAGGAGAUCAGAAAUGUGUGGAUCCAGAAACUUCUCAGAGAGGAACACAUCUCAAUAGAACUUGCAUCUGGUGUUGUUCAAACCACAGUCCCUUCUUUUAAUUUGUCUUUAUUUUCUCUGUACCCGUGUGCUAUGGGUUCCUCAGCUGGAGUCCCUGCUGACUAUCUUGAAGAUACGGGUCCUCCGCUUCUUAACCUACCCCAGCCCAGAUACUACAAGUGAAGGAAGGAAGACUCCUUCCUCUCUGCCUCUCUCCCUUGAUGUUUAACAGACGCUCAAAAAAAAAAAAAAAA